AUGGCGGCUGUGGAUGCAAACUCCGGCGGCGAUUCAGGCAUACCUCCGGGCGGCAGCGCGGCGCAGCAGCCUUCUCAGUCCGAGUCUAAUCCUUCUGCUAGCGGCGCGCAGCAGAGGUUGGAUUGGUCGGCGCCGGCGCGACCACCGUUGACGACAAGAAGCAGAGCUCAAGGUCGGCGGAAGCUUCCUCAUUCUGCGGGCGGCGGCAGAAUUGAUGACCCAAAGUGGUCAAUUUGGUUCCAUUUCAAUGCCAGAGAAUCUGUGGUUCGAAAUUUAUACCAGUCAGACAUAUCAUAUUUGACAAUGCUUUCUCUUAUUGGGAGUGAGGGCUUUGUGGCUGAUGAUUAUAUGUACUAUGUAUUUGAUGAGGAGAAAGGAUUAGAAGGUUUAGAUAAAAUAUGCUGUGAAGAUGAUGUGCAGCAGAUGUUGGCACACUCUCAUAAUGAAAAGUUUCUGAACAUAAGAGUAGUGGGAGCUCUUGAGGAAUGUAAUGCAGAUGAAAAUCAUGAAAACAGAGAUAGUUAUUUUGCUGAACAUUGCAUUAACACUCAACAAAGUUGCACUAAGGUGGUGGAUAUAAGCAUGGAUAGAAAGGAAGAGCUGAAGAAAAGCAUGGUGCAGAGAGAGGCUGAACUUAACCAUUUUGAAGGUGACAUUGAUGUGUCUGAAUUUGUUUCUGAUGAUGAAGCUGCAAAUUCAGGUUCAGAUGGGAACAAUGUGGAUUUUCAGUCAGAGUAUUCCUCUGAAGAUGAAGCUGCAAAACAAGAUACAGCAGUGGUACAGAAACUGAAGGUAGUGAGAAAACCUGGUCCAACUAGUAGAUCCCACCAUGAGGUUGAGAAAAUGGAGAAAGCAGAUUGGUUCCCUGAAGCAGAUGAAAAAUGUUUCCCUGGUGAUUAUGGCAUCAGUGAUGAAGAAGAUGAGCCUGAAGGAUCCUAUAAACUACCAAGUGGUAGGAAGAGAAGGAAUAAGAAGUUGAAAGACAGGAUAUGGUAUGAUCACAAACUUCAAGGACCAGUAGAACAGUUCUAGUCCACAAAGGUUACUACUAAGUGGAUGUCAAGGUCAGUAGAGGCAGCAUUGAGAGAAGACAUUAGAUCUCCUGUGGAUGCAUUAAUUAAGAAGACCAAGACUAAGUUUGCAGUGGAUGUAUCAAGAAGUGUGGCAUAUAGGGCAAGGAGGAAGGCUGUUGAUGUAGUUCAAGGUGACCACAAGCAGCAAUACUUGAGGCUCAGGGAUUAUCUUCAAGCAGUUCUUGACACAAACCCAGCCACAGGAAGGGAUGGAAACAACAAUAUUUAUCCUAUAGCUUUUGGUGUGGUUGACAAGGAAGAUGGUGAAAGUUGGAAUUGGUUUUUAACUCAAUUGAGAUGUUGCAUUGGCAGUGGCAACAAAUUUGGAACAUACACUAUCAUGUCUGACAGGCAAAAGGGCUUGCUUAAGGCAAUAAAUGAGGUAUUCCCUGAUUCACCUCAAAGGUAUUGUCUUAGGCACAUAUAUGCAAAUUUUCAAUCUGCUGGAUUUAGAGGCCAGGAACUAAAGAAGUGUAUUGACAAGGCUAGCUACUCCUACACUAAACAUGGGCAUGAACUAGGCAUGGCAGAGCUGAAAGCACAGUCUGAGGAUGCUUGGAAAUGGCUAAAAAAAAUUGAGGUCUCUACUUGGGCUAGGUUUGCUAUGGAUCAUACUUGCAAAACAGAUUUAGUUGUGAACAAUCUAAGUGAAGUCUUCAACAAGAUGAUACUGGAUGUUAGGGCCAAACCAAUAAGGACAAUGUUUGAAGGGAUUAGGACCAAGCAAAUGAUCAAGAGGCAACAAACUAGGGAGAAGUUACAGAUUAGCAGGUGGACAAUCACACCAACCUACUCAGAGAUUUUAGAAGAGAACAAGCAGUAUGCCAAGUAUUGUCAGGCUGACAGAGCUGGUCCAACAAUUUGGCAAGUUACUAGCAAAGAAAAACAGUAUUGUGUGGACAUGGAAGGGCAUACAUGUGACUGCAAGAGAUGGAACAUGACUGGUGUACCUUGCAGUCAUGGCAUAUCUGUACUGACAAAGCAAAAGCUGCAUCCUGAGGACUAUGUCAAUGACUUUUUCAAGAAGCCACUUUAUUUGGAGACAUACAAAGAAAUUAUAUACCCUGUUCCUGGUCCAGAUUUCUGGCCUCACACAAACACUCCAGACAUUGAACCUCCUGUGUUCAAAGAAAAGGCAGGCAGAAAACAAACUGUAAGGAGGAAAGGAGAGUUUGAAGUUCCCGCCCCAAGAGACACCAGUAGGAUGGGAACAAUUACCUGUGGAAAUUGUGGGUUGGAAGGACACAAGUAUACAAGUUGCAAUAAGACUCUUAGGCCUAAACUGCAAAUGAGGAAAAACAAACACCAGGAAAACAGGGCAGUCUAUGCACCUGCUCCAUCUGCUCCAGUACAAACUCCAAGAGCACCAGCCCCUAGUGCAAGAGCACCAGCUCCUGCUGCAUCUGCACCAGCUCCUACUACAACAGCUAAAAGGGGAGAGGUAGUUGAUGAACAAGACGAGGUUGCUAGGGCUGAAAGGAGGGCCAACCGUCGAGCACAAGCACAUGAGCGACGCCAGAGGAUUGCUGCCAUGAUUAUGGCGGAACGCAACCAGAAUGACGUGAAGCAGUUCAAGGAGGUGUUCCCAGAAGGAACCAACAUCACAGAUGAACUAAUCAUCUGGUGGGCCAGAGACAGGGCAUCUUUCCAUCGAUUCCAAGCAACAAGGAAGAGAUGGACUCAGAUCCUGGCUGCAGCAGAAGGAAGACAAGAUUGGGAUUAG
rnacentral:rRNA from 1 species